rnacentral:rRNA from 1 species
CCUACGGGUGGCAGCAGUGGGGAAUAUUGCACAAUGGGGGGAACCCUGAUGCAGCGACGCCGCGUGAGUUACGAAGUAUUUCGGUAUUUAAAGCUCUAUCAGCAGGGCAGAAAAUGACGGUACCUGCCUAAGAAGGUCCGGCUAACUACGUCACAGGAGCCGCGGUAAUACGUAGGGGGCAAGCGUUAUCCGGAUUUACUGGGUGCAACGGUAGCGUAGACGGCAGAGCAAGUCUGAAGUGAAAGCCCGCGGCACAACUGCGGGACUGCUUUGGAAACUGCCCGGCUAGAGUGCUGGAGAGGUAAGCGGAAUUCCUAGUGUAGCGGUGAAAUGCGUAGAGAUUAGGAGGAACACCAGUGGCGAAGGCGGCUUACUGGACAGUAACUGACGUUGAGGCUCGAAAGCGUGGGGAGCAAACAGGAUUAGAUACCCUAGUAGUC